CCAGACUCCUACGGGAGGCAGCAGUGAGGAAUAUUGGUCAAUGGGCGGGAGCCUGAACCAGUCAAGUCGCGUGAGGGAAGACGGUCCUAUGGAUUGUAAACCUCUUUUGUCGGGGAGCAAAGAGGCCACGUGUGGUCAAAAGCGAGAGUACCCGAAGAAAAAGCAUCGGCUAACUCCGUGCCAGCAGCCGCGGUAAUACGGAGGAUGCGAGCGUUAUCCGGAUUUAUUGGGUUUAAAGGGUGCGUAGGCGGACCGGUAAGCAAGGGGUAAAAAUGGGGGGCUAAACUCCGGCGAGCCGUUGAAACUGCCGUUCUUGAGUGAGCGAGAAGUAUGCGGAAUGCGUGGUGUAGCGGUGAAAUGCAUAGAUAUCACGCAGAACUCCGAUUGCGAAGGCAGCAUGCCGGCUCCACACUGACGCUGAGGCACGAAAGCGUGGGUAUCGAACAGGAUUAGAUACCCUCGUA
rnacentral:rRNA from 1 species